rnacentral:rRNA from 1 species
CCUGCGGGUUGUAAAGCACUUUUAGUGGGGACAAAAAGCCAUUGAUUAAUACUUGGUGGUCUUGAUUUAACCCAAAGAAAAAGCACCGGCUAACUCUGUGC